rnacentral:tRNA from 1 species
GGGUUUGUGGCUCAGUGUUAGAGCACUUGCCUAGCUCGCAUGAAGCACUGGGUUCAAUCCUCAGCACCA